AUGGCUUCGGCGCUGCUCUCCGCGCUGGUCUUGGUCGUUGCCAUGGUGGCUACCGUCGGGCGGCCGUGCCGGGGCGAGUUCACGGUGGUGGUGCCGGACGCGGGGGCGCUGGUGGACGCGCCGCAGCCGGGGUUCUCGGACCGGGCGCGCACCGACCCGGCGGAGCAGCGCGCCGUGCUGGAGGUGAUGGCGGCGACGGGCAACGGCUGGGCGUCGGGCAUCGCGGACGUGUGCCGCGGCCGGUGGCACGGCAUCGAGUGCGUGCCCGACCGCGCCGACGUCUACCACGUCGUCUCCCUCUCCUUCGGCGCGCUCUCCGACGACACCGCCUUCCCGGCCUGCGACCCCGCGCGCGCCACGCUCUCCCCCGCCGUGCUCGCGCUCCCGCACCUCCGCUCCCUCUUCUUCUACCGCUGCUUCACCGCCAACCCGCAGCCCGUCCCGCCCUUCCUCGGCCGCCUCGGCCCCGCCUUCCGCUCCCUCGUGCUGCGCCAGAACGGCCACGUCGGCCCCAUACCGGCCGAGAUCGGGAACCUCUCCAGGCUGCGCGUGCUUGACCUCCACGGCAACCAUCUCUCCUCCGCCAUCCCGGCCACCGUCCAGUCGUUAGACCGCCUCCAGCUGCUCGACCUCAGCUACAACCGGCUCGCCGGCCAGGUGCCAAACUUGAGGUUCCAGCAGCUCAGCAUCCUGGACCUCAGCCACAACGCGCUGCAGGGCCGCGUCCCGGCGAGCCUCGGGCAAUGCCGGUCUCUCCUGAAGAUCGACCUCAGCCAGAACCGCCUCGCCGGCACGAUCCCGGACGCUCUCGGCGAUCUGCCUGACCUCAUACUGCUCGACCUCAGCCACAACGCGCUGUCCGGCCCGAUCCCGGCGGCGAUCGGCAGGCUGUCGACGCUGCGGUCGCUCAUCCUCGGCGACAACCCGAUGCAGCCCUCGGCGAUCCCCGGUGACUUCUUCACGGGGCUCAAGGCGCUGACCACGCUGGUCCUCUCGGGCAUGGGGCUGGAAGGGUCGCUGCCGGAGUCCAUCGGGGGCCUGAGCCAGCUCCGCGUGCUGCGCCUGGACAGCAACGGCUUCACCGGCGUGAUACCGGCGAGCUUCCGGCGGCUGGAGAAGGCGAGCGAGCUCCGCGUGGACGGCAACCGGCUGGUGGGGCCGAUCCCGUUCGGCAAGCAGAUGAUGUGGAGGCUGGGCAAGAAGCUGCGCGUCGGCGGCAACGAGGGGCUCUGCUACGACGCCAAGCAGCAAGGGCUGGAGGGCGCCAUGGCGCUGGCCGGCGUCGCGGACUGCGGCAGCGUGGGGAGCGGCACCACGACGCAGCACUUGAGCUGGAUGAGUAGCGGCGGCGCCACGGCGACGGCGACGGCUAACGUGACACCAUCAGCCGCAGAUUCAAAUUCUGGCCGGGGUGGCGGGCAUUUUUUCUUGGUCGUUUUGGUGUGUUUGCAGCUUGCAUUGUGGUUGUAG
rnacentral:rRNA from 1 species